ACAGAGGCCCCAAGCGUUAGGCGGAAUCACUGGGCUUAAAGCGUGCGUAGGCGGCUCCUCAAGUGCUUUGUGAAAUCCCCGGGCUCAACCUGGGAAUGGCGUUUGGGACUGGAAGUCUGGAGUGCGGCAGAGGAGACUGGAAUUCCUGGUGUAGCAGUGAAAUGCGUAGAUAUCAGGAGGAACACCGAUGGCGAAGGCAGGUCUCUGGGCUGACACCGACGCUCAUGCACGAAAGCGUGGGGAGCAAACAGGA
rnacentral:rRNA from 1 species